rfam:Hordeum vulgare subsp. vulgare, WGS project CAJW01000000 data, contig: morex_contig_57085
AAAAUACUCCCUUCGUCCGGAAUUACUUGUCGCACAAAUAAACAAAAAUGAAUGUAUAUAGAACUAAAAUACAUCUAGAUACAUCCAUUCUUAUGACAAGUAUUUCUGAACAGAAGGAGUAUAUA